rnacentral:rRNA from 1 species
UUGAAAUCUGGCCCUCGGGUCCGAGUUGUAAUUUGCAGAGGAUGCUUUUGGCGCGGUGCCUUCCGAGUUCCCUGGAAUGGGACGCCUUAGAGGGUGAGAGCCCCGUACGGUUGGACACCAAGCCUCUGUAAAGCUCCUUCGACGAGUCGAGUAGUUUGGGAAUGCUGCUCUAAAUGGGAGGUAAAUUUCUUCUAAAGCUAAAUAUUGGCCAGAGACCGAUAGCGCACAAGUAGAGUGAUCGAAAGAUGAAAAGCACUUUGAAAAGAGGGUUAAAUAGCACGUGAAAUUGUUGAAAGGGAAGCGUUUGCGACCAGACCUCUUCCCGGCGGAUCAUCCGGUGUUCUCACCGGUGCACUUCGCCGGGUCGAGGCCAGCAUCGGUCUCUGUAGGGGGAUAAAAGCUCAGGGAACGUAGCUCCUUCGGGAGUGUUAUAGCCCUCUGCAUAAUGCCCUUACGGGGACCGAGGACCGCGCCUUCGGGCAAGGAUGCUGGCGUAAUGGUCGCCAACGACCCGUCUUGAAACACGGACCAAGGAGUCGAACAUUUGUGCGAGUGUUUGGGUGUUAAACCCUCACGCGCAAUGAAAGUGAACGGAGGUGAGAGCCCCUUGGGGUGCAUCAUCGACCGAUCCUGAUGUCUUCGGAUGGAUUUGAGUAGGAGCACAACUGUUCGGACCCGAAAGAUGGUGAACUAUGCGUGGAUAGGGUGAAGCCAGAGGAAACUCUGGUGGAGGCUCGCAGCGGUUCUGACGUG